rnacentral:lncRNA from 1 species
AGCAACACAGCUCUCCCUUUCUAGAAACAGGGUUUCCCCUCCAGGCUUGGAUUCUUAAAUCUAAAAAGAGCCUCUCACCUGAGGCCUUCACCUGAGAGCUGGAGCCUGUGCGAUGGAUUAUCUGGACAGGGACCCCAAUGAACAGGGCUCUGCUGGAGUGAGGAAGCUGACUGAGGGAAGAACCAGAAGGCUGCCAAAAUGUCUGCUGCUGGGGAAACCAAACCACAGUAACUUCAGAAAUAUAUACUUGGAAUAUGUCAUGUAUUAAUGGGUAAAGACACCGUGGAUAUGAAGGAAAUCACCUAUGGGAGAAUAUUAAGAAGAGAAGAAGGGGCUGCUGGCUGUAGUGAAAUGUAUAAAAAGGAGAGUGUGAUCCUAGUUUCUGUCUCUAACUAUGAGUUACUUGUGAUUAACUUCAAAUAUUCUCUCCAUAAGAAGAGGCCCAGAAGAAGAAGAUGAGCUUCAGUUAUUCUAGCACAACUGCUGUGAUAUUUGUAAAUAUUCAAAACCUAUAAUAAAAUGUAUAAAAGGAAACUCCAUUUGAAAUGAUUUGAAAUCUCACAUGGAAAUCUAUUUUUUUUAAAUCAGAGCUUAGUAAGAGAAAAUAACAGAACAUUGUAAUAAUUGAAUUACAAAAACAACUGAAUUUUGGAAAAUUUAUUUUCUCUCAUGUGAUGUGUGUGUAUGUGUGUGUGUGUGUGUGUGUAUCUAUUUAGCAAUGGCGUUAUUCUAUCAAAUGGGAUUAGAUUCAUUUUUGACUCCUGCUAAGCACCCUGUCCCCCCAACCCCAAGAUUAUGAAAGCGGAAGGGAAGGGGGAGAUAGGAAAUAUGACUUAUUUAAACUGUAUAAAAAUGCUGAAAUAAAAUGAACAUUCAAAACUCAUGUGAUUGAAUUUAAUCUUUCUUUUGUUCAACACAUUCAC